rnacentral:rRNA from 1 species
AUUGAACGCUGGCGGCAGGCCUAACACAUGCAAGUCGAGCGGAGCGGCGGACGGGGGAGUAAUGCCUAGGAAUCUGCCUGUUAGUGGGGGAUAACGUCCGGAAACGGGCCCUAAUAACGCAUACUAUCAGGUCGGCCUCGGUCGGAUUAGCUAGUUGGUGGGGUAAAGGCUUACCAAGGCGACGAUCCGUAACUGGUCUGAGAGGAUGAUCAGUCACACUGGAACUGAGACACGGUCCAGACUCCUACGGGAGGCAGCAGUGGGGAAUAUUGGACAAUGGGCGAAAGCCUGAUCCAGCCAUGCCGCGUGUGUGAAGAAGGCCUUCGGGUUGUAAAGCACUUUCAGCGGGGAGGCGUUACCCGCAGAAGAAGCACCGGCUAACUCCGUGCCAGCAGCCGCGGUAAUAC